UUGCCUCAGCCUCCCAAAGUGCUGGGAUUACAGGUGUGAGCCACCGCGCCCGGCCCUCUUGUUCUUAAGCAGCUUUAUUACAUUUCCAGCAGGCAGGCCAGAGAGUGAGGAUGCUGCUGGUGUGCUGGGGAGGAAGUGCAGGAAUCUGUAGAGGACAGUUGUUUUCAGAAGUCCAAGAUCCUAUCCCCUUUAUUCUGUUAGUUGUACUUCAGUUUGCUUUCAGGAACCACUACUUUUCCAACUACAAUUCUCAGUGAUUUAGAUACACUGACUGCUCUCCUACUCCAGGGCUAAGCUCAAGACCCAGGUUUGGCAAAUGAGUACAUCACAGCUGCUCUAGCAAGGGAAUAAAUUCGCCAAUGACCAGAUGACCCAGUUGGUUAAGGCACAGCAUUCAACUCCCCCAGAGGAUGCAGCAUCAAAGUGCCAACUUGCAAGCAGUGAGAAGCUCUUAAAAGACAGCUGAACCUGCAGCUCCUUGAUCUUGGACUUUCUGUCCUCCAGAACUGAAAUUUGGUGCUAAGUCUAGUGAGUUGGACAUGGCCAUUCGAUGGAGGCUCCCAAGAACAAUGAAGUCAGGCAUCUAUUCUUUCUCUCACUGUGACUGUGAUGACCUGGCCGAGGCAAACACUUUCAGGUAGGUGCUCAGAAGAGACUUUAAAAUGAGACGGCAGAUUUUACUUUUAGAAAUAUGAACAAAGAACUGAAUAAGAUGCUAAAAUAAGAGAUAAAUUAUGCAAAUGCCUAUAAUAAUGAACAUUUCAUAGGUCUUGACAUUGAAAAAUUGUAAGGUGAGAGUUGUAGGUAAGAGAACUCCAAAGAGAAAUGAAUGGGUAAUGAAAGAUAGGACCUGGAAGGCCUAGAUGUAGGUCUGCUCCACUCAUUGAACACACCCAACAAGCUCCUAACAUGCUCCAGGCACUAUGCGGCGCUGCAGGAGACAAGGUAUGGGCUGUGUCCUCUCAGGGAGUUAUUCGCAAGAAGACAUGAUGAAUUCUCUUUCUCUAGGUCAAAUGACCAAAUAUGUUUUGAUUUUAAACAUUGUAAGAGAAUAAUACGGAAAAGUGUAAUAAGAUUAGAGAUCUCAAAGUUCCUGUCUUAGUUUGGUGCAAAAGUAAUUGAAUUUUAAAUCAUUAUAACGAGGCUUAAACACAUCUUUAUUAAUCAGAAUAGGAACCAUUACAAUCCACACAUUUUUGCCAAUGAGAAAUACAUUUUUUCAUUACUGUAGUAUAGAAAUCCGUGCUUCAGGAUUCAAUGAACUCUUGAAAAGCAUUUUCUGCAUCCUGCUGGUUGUGGAAGCAUUUUCCCUGCAAAAAGUUGUUGAGAUGCUUGAGGAAGUAGUAGUUGGUUGGCAGAGGUCAGAUGAAUGUGGCGGUUGAGGCAAAACUUCAUGGCCCAAUUCAUUCAACUUCUGAUGCACUGGUUGUGUGAUGUGCAGUCAGGCGUUGUGGAAAAGAAUUGGGCCCUUUUUGUUGACCAGUGCUAGCUGCAGGCAUUGCAGUUUUCAGUGCAUCUCAUUGAUUUGCUGAGCAUACUUCUCAGAUGUAACAGUUGCAGUGAG
rnacentral:lncRNA from 1 species